UGUAUAUGUAUGANAUUAUGAUGUGAGUUACUCUNUGUAGUAUUGCUUAUACAUAUUUAUACAUUUAUUUGCAAGAUGUUGUCGGCGUGCACUUCUCCCCUAGUAGGACGUCGCGACCCGUUGGGUGUCGGUCUACGACCCAGGUGGGAGACUUUGAUAUUUUNAUAAUAUUAAAGACCCUUGGUGUUUUCUGACCGGCUGCCCGGCGGUACUCGUACGGUAUUAAGCCGCAUUUAUUUGNNCGUCCAUGUCCGUCGCAAGCGAGGCUAAUCUCUGGUAGUNACGGACCU
rnacentral:rRNA from 1 species